GGCUCGUUAACCAGACUGCAAAGGAAAGGCAGAGACUGUGUGUCUCCACCGGAAUCCUCAAUGCCAAAACAGUCCCUGGGUUUUACAGCCUCAGGAGUUCCUGGCACAGCAUCCAUCUGCUUUCUCUCAACUAAAAUCUACAGUAAGAUCCAACAGUUGAGAAGAAUGCUGAAUUACAACAGUUCCCAAAGGACUAAUCCUUCAGCUGAACGCUGAUAUAGAAAUGACUUUCCUUUCCUUUGUGGUAUAUAUUCAUCAGAGAGGUUAUGGCAGAUGAGAUUUAUGAAGGUGGUUAUAAAUAUGAUAUGGAUGUCCACAAGCAAGAGCAGAAAAACUCUGAUCUUCAGCAGAGCAACCACAUACGUUGUGCCAUGCCCUGGACUUAACAUAAUGUUGAGGAUCUUGACUCCUACUGAGAACAGUAAGUCUCGUUGAUAGGAGUCUGAGUAUUUCAAAGCCAGCGUGGUAUUGCAUACAGCAUUGACUAGAAGUGGUGCCUGCUGUUAACUUUCAAAUCACCAUCCCAAUCUUUCUUGAUGAAAGAAAUUGAACUCUAGACCUCCUACCAAAUUUUAUUUUUGCUGUUUCAAUCCUCUUUUCCUUUAAAAAUAUCAGCAGCCUACCAGACUAAAGUACACAGAAUAGAGGGUCAAGCAGCAGAAGGAGGCCUUUUCUACUCCAUCCUCAGGCAGCUUGACACUGAAGCACAACAGGGGUUGCAUAUAGGGUGCAGUACAGAAGUGAGUUACCAUUUACAUGGACAGAUAGGAUAAGGUUCAUGUCAGGAGUUCUAAGAGUAUUUUUUGAACUUAAUAUAUUAACAUUUGACAAAUAUCAAUCUGUCAAAUUUGUAGCAAAAAAACAAUGCAAAUAAUCAAAGAAUGCCUUUCCAUAUUUUUACUAGAUCUGUAUUACCAUAAUUUGUCCAUUCAAUUCAGAUUCAUUAUUUUUCUGAGACGUAACCAGGAUGUCAACUGUGAUUAUGGAGAAUAUUUUAAGAAAACACUAAAGUUGAAAAAGAUUACAAAUUAGUGUACCUCUAAUUACAUUUCUAUUUCUUCAGUCAUUACAUAAUAUGGUGCACAUGAAAAUGAACCGCAAUGAAUUUCUCAGAUUUACUAUAUUUGGAAUAUAGUAAGUUAAGUUGAUAUAGUUUACAAAAUCAUGAUAUAUUACUGAAAAUACAUAUGUACUGUAAAAUUCAACAUGCCAGUGAUCCCUUAGAGCAUGUGGUAUUAACAUAUUUCAUGUGUCUAUCACAACUUCUUUGGCAUUUGUUCAAAUAUUUGACAAAAUGUUUGCAUAUAUGUUAGUACUGCAGACUUAGUACCAUAUUUGCUGUUCUUGCACCUUUCUCUGUCAAAUGUCACCCAGCUUAAAAAUUUUCCUCUAGAUUUUUGGAUAAUACUGACUAGAGAAUAAAUGAGAAAGAUUAACUAUAUAUGAAAUUAAAGGAAAUUAUUCUGCAAGUGAUUCUAUUAGGAGAAAACAUUUUGUAAUAAUCAGUUUUCUAGAUACCUUUUAAUUCAAUUCAAUGUUGACAGCAAAUGGAGUAGUCAGGAUGGAAACAUUUGCAAUCUGAGCAAAGCUCCUUCAGCCCUGAUUCUGAUUUUCUCUUUUGCUCUGAGGCACUGCUGGUUUUGCUUCCCAUCCUAGCCUUCCCACUUUGCUCACUUUCCUUUUCUGCUCGUUCCUUGGUGGAGUUUACUAGUUGUUCUUUUAUAGCAAAAUAAAAUUAAUUAAAUCUUCUAGCUUGUUAUCUUUCAGUGAUAGUUAUUUGUGUUCAGUCAAGUUCUUGUUUAUUAACUGCACAUAAAAAAAAUACUGAGUUUCUCUGACUGGAACAAAGUAGAUCACAGACUUAUUUCCUAACAUAUUUUCAAACUAUGCAAUCUGCUGUUUCAUGAUCAAUGGAUUGUGUAACACAAAUAAGUGAUUUCAUACUUCUCUGAUUCCCGUAAUGAUAUAGUUUUAUUAUACCAGAAUUAUAUCCUCAAACUGACUGCACAGCUGAAUGCGUUGUCUUGAGUAACACAGAUAUUCCUAAAAUGAAUUUGCUGAUAUUUUAAGUGUUUUCUUUUGUAGUUUGUUAAUUUAAGCAAUCUGCCUUCAGCGUUCCCAAGAUGCCAGUACUUAUGGGGAAGAAGCGUUGUAUUUCAUUUGAUCUGGGCUUUUUUAUUGUUAUUUCUUUUGCUGGAAUUAAGCAAGGAUCAAAAUUUAUGCAGGGAUAAGAAAUUACAGGAUCUUUUCAAAUUGUUUUUGAGCUGAAGUAAUAACUGCAGUUAAUACUGUUUAAAUAUUUAUAAGAGAAGUUAGUUUAAUCAGUGUGACAAUGCAGACAUGCAUAUUUGUACCUAGGGCCAACACUGAAAAUAGCAGUUGGUAUUUACGUCUUCCUUAAUUUGUUUUCAUUUGGACAUUGCUACUUCAUAGGUCUAAUUUACCCCUCAAGCCUGCAGUUCUGAAACAUAAUUGUUGUAAAACUAAAGCGAUUAAGUAUUUACUGAUUAAGUAAUAUAUUUCAAAGAAAAUAGUUACCUAAUCAUUAAUUAAGCUAAUAAGCAUUUUACUACUUCUGAUUUAGUUAUGACUUUGCAUAAUUGUUGCUUACAAUUAUAAAGCUUUUAGUUAU
rnacentral:lncRNA from 7 species